ACUGCUCAGUAACACGUCGUUAAUCUGCCCUAAGGUCAGGGAUACCCACGGGAAACUGUGGCUAACACCUGAUAAGGAACAAAUACUGGAAUGUGUUGUUCUCCAAACUCGAGCCUUAGGAUGAGACGGCGGUCGAUUAGGCAGUUGGCGGUGUAACGGACCACCAAACCAAAGAUCGGUACGGGCCAUGAGAGUGGUAGCCCGGAGAGGGACACUGAGAUACUGGUCCCAGCCCUACGGGGUGCAGCAGGCGCGAAACCUUUACAAUGCACGCAAGUGUGAUAAGGGGAUCCCGAGUGCUCAAGCAAUGCUUGGGCUUUUGCAGUGUGUAAAUAGCACGGCGAAUAAGUGGUGGGAAAGACUGGUGCCAGCCGCCGCGGUAACACCAGCGCCACGAGUGGCAAUCACGUUUAUUGGGCCUAAAGCGUCCGUAGCAGGUUUCGUAAAUCUCUUGUGAAAUUGCCAGGCUUAACCUGGCAGAGUGCAGGAGACACUGCGAGACUUGAGACCGGGAGGAGUUAGAGGUAUUCCUUAGGGAGCGGUAAAAUGCUAUAAUCUAAGGAGGACCACCUGUGGCGAAGGCGUCUAACUAGAACGGAUCUGACUGUGAGGGACGAAAGCUAGGGGAGCGAACCGGAUUAGAUACCCGAGUAGUCCUAGCCGUAAACGCUGUGAGCUAGGUGUCGCGUAUUCUACGUGAAUGCGCGGUGUCGAAAGGAAGCUAUUAAGCUCACCGCCUGGGAAGUACGGUCGCAAGACUGAAACUUUAAGGAAUUGGCGGGGGAGCAC
rnacentral:rRNA from 1 species